rnacentral:rRNA from 1 species
GAUGAACGCUGGCGGCGUGCCUAAUACAUGCAAGUCGAGCGAACAGACGAGGAGCUUGCUCCUCUGACGUUAGCGGCGGACGGGUGAGUAACACGUGGAUAACCUACCUAUAAGACUGGGAUAACUUCGGGAAACCGGAGCUAAUACCGGAUAAUAUAUUUAACCGCAUGGUUCAAUAGUGAAAAACGGUUUUUCUGUCACUUAUAGAUGGAUCCGCGCCGCAUUAGCUAGUUGGUAAGGUAACGGCUUACCAAGGCAACGAUGCGUAGCCGACCUGAGAGGGUGAUCGGCCACACUGGAACUGAGACACGGUCCAGACUCCUACGGGAGGCAGCAGUAGGGAAUCUUCCGCAAUGGGCGAAAGCUUGACGGAGCAACGCCGCGUGAGUGAUGAAGGUCUUCGGAUCGUAAAACUCUGUUAUUAGGGAAGAACAAAUGUGUAAGUAACUAUGCACGUCUUGACGGUACCUAAUCAGAAAGCCACGGCUAACUACGUG